rnacentral:rRNA from 1 species
UACGUAGGGGGCAAGCGUUGUCCGGAUUUACUGGGCGUAAAGAGCGUGUAGGCGGCCAAGCAGGUCCGUUGUGAAAACUGGAGGCUUAACCUCCAGACGUCGACGGAAACCGCGCGGCUAGAGUCCGGAAGAGGAGAGUGGAAUUCCUGGUGUAGCGGUGAAAUGCGCAGAUAUCAGGAAGAACACCAAUGGCGAAGGCAGCAUCUCUGGGC